rnacentral:lncRNA from 1 species
UUUUAGUCAUGGGACUAAAACGCAUCCAAGCAACCUAUAAGGCAGACUGCCUUUUGAUUGAGCAAUAAAAUGACCCUGAUCCCCCCGGCCGAAAAAGAAAAGGAAGUAGAUCAGAACUUCUCACGCGAGAAAAAAGAGCGCAAAAAACCUCUGAUCCAGCCGCAUGCACGCGCUGCACGUUGUUGGAUAAAUCGGUGUCGGUGGGCAGUGGGCUCAUGAUGCGUCGCACGUCUCUCUGGCUGAGCCAACGUUCGCGGGCGAUCACCAUCCUUAUUUUAUUUUUUUUCCUGGGUAUCGCGAUCGCAAACACGAUCCUUAAUUACUUGUUAAAUCAAAACUUGGUCAACGAGCAAUCAUCUGAUCGAAUGCAUCAUCAAAUUAGAAA